GGAGGCUUACCCAAGCGGCUGAAGGGGUCGGUCUUGAAAACCGGUAGGGGGUGCAAGCCCCGCCAGGGUUCAAAUCCCUGAGCCUCC
rnacentral:tRNA from 1 species